AAGUCGGCAAAAUGGAUUUGUAUAAUCAGAAAAAGAUUGGCUCUGAGGGCUGAGCACGAGGGUCCAGUUUCAAACCCGCCAGCUGUCGAACAGACAACUCAGAAUUGGUACGAACAAGGGGAAUCCGACUGUUUAAUUAAAACAAAGCAUUGUGAUGGUCCAUGCAGAUGUUGACGCAAUGUGAUUUCUGCCCAAUGCUCUGAACGUCAAAGUGAAGAAAUUCAACCAAACGUGGGUAAACGGAAAGAUGGUUGACAAUUUUAUGUCUAGAAACUAUGAUAAUACAUAAUUUGGAGCUACUAUUAAUGAUUGUAAAUCUUUAUUUAGUCGUAUUUAUGAAAACUCUAUGCGGAGACAAGAAAAUGACGAUGCUAAUGAGUUACCUAAGG
rnacentral:ncRNA from 1 species